UACGUAGGCAGCAAGCGUUGUUCGGAGUUACUGGGCGUAAAGGGUGUGUAGGCGGUUGUUUAAGUUUGGUGUGAAAUCUCCCGGCUCAACUGGGAGGGUGCGCCGAAUACUGAAUGACUUCGAGUGCGGGAGAGGAUAGUGGAAUUCCUGGUGUAGCGGUGAAAUGCGUAGAUAUCGGGAAGAACACCCGUGGCGAAGGCGGCUCUCUGGGACGGUACUGACGCUGAGACGCGAAAGCGUGGGGAGCGAACAGG
rnacentral:rRNA from 1 species